GACGAACGCUGGCGGCGUGCUUAACACAUGCAAGUCGAACGGAAAGGCCCUGCUUUUGUGGGGUGCUCGAGUGGCGAACGGGUGAGUAACACGUGAGUAACCUGCCCUUUACUUUUGGAUAACUUCAGGAAACUGGGGCUAAUACCGGAUAGGUGCUCCUGCUGCAUGGUGGGGGUUGGAAAGUUUCGGCGGUUGGGGAUGGACUCGCGGCUUAUCAGCUUGUUGGUGGGGUAGUGGCUUACCAAGGCUUUGACGGGUAGCCGGCCUGAGAGGGUGACCGGCCACAUUGGGACUGAGAUACGGCCCAGACUCCUACGGGAGGCAGCAGUGGGGAAUAUUGCACAAUGGGCGGAAGCCUGAUGCAGCAACGCCGCGUGCGGGAUGACGGCCUUCGGGUUGUAAACCGCUUUCGCCUGUGACGAAGCGUGAGUGACGGUAAUGGGUAAAGAAGCACCGGCUAACUACGUG
rnacentral:rRNA from 1 species